GAUGAACGCUGGCGGUAUGCCUAACACAUGCAAGUCGUACGAGAGUUUUUAACUCUAGUGGCGGACGGGUGAGUAACACGUGAGAAUUUGCCUUUAGGAGGGGGACAACAAUUGGAAACGAAUGCUAAUACCCCAUAUGCUUUCGAGUGAAAUGGAUUUUAUCCGCCUAGAGAGAAGCUCGCGGCUGAUUAGCUUGUUGGUAAGGUAAGAGCUUACCAAGGCGACGAUCAGUAUCUGGUUUGAGAGGACGAUCAGACACACUGGAACUGAGACACGGUCCAGACUCCUACGGGAGGCAGCAGUGGGAAUUUCCGCAAUGGCGAAAGCCUGACGAGCAAUACCGCGUGAGGGAAGAAU
rnacentral:rRNA from 1 species